AUCCGGCCUUAGCCACACUCAGCUACCGCCAAGAACAUUCUUUCUGCUCCCAACGCCCGAAGAAAUCAGAAGUGCGCGCGGUUUUACUGAAAUUAAUAUCAGAUUAGCAGAUUAAAAAUGAGGCGAAUAUACAUAGUGAUAAUUAAAUCGGGUCAAGUGAAUUAAAAGGUGUUAGUACGUGUUCCCAAUACGAAAAGCAUGACAUGGAAAGCACGGAACAUACAAUUUAAAAAAGAGUCAAAAAGGUCCCCAGUGGACCUUUUUGUUUCCGGCUUCGGACUUCGUCCGAAGAAUAUUUUCACAGGAGAGAUUCCUCGACCGCCUACUACGCAGCGGACAGAUCACGAUCGGGAGUACCGUGAGUCCCUGCAACCAGAAC